rnacentral:rRNA from 1 species
AUGGGUGUGAACGGUUAUAUAUCAAAAAAUGUUAUCAACAUGAUGUGCAAAGCUAUCAUGUCAGAACAGCGUGAUGCACAUUUCUUGAAGCAUGUUUUUAAUUCCGAGCUUGGAAAAAUGCUUCAAGACCCCUCCACAUGCCGAGAAAGCAUUUCAAACUACCUACCUAAGCCCAAUCAGGGAUUCAAACCCAAAAACAUGGAUGCAGUUUUUGUACCAUUGCUAAAUUGCAAGACUUGGUACCUACUUGUAGCAAAUUUUUGGAAGAGACGGUUCGAGGUAUUGAGUCCAAUGGGGUGCACUGACAAAUUGAUAACACAAGCACAGUUUAUUGUAUGCAACUUUCGGGAAGCUUUUCAUAGUGCAUAUCCUCAGCUCCAUACCGUAAUAAUCAAAGACAUGGAUAUUACCUUCCAUACCAUAUCAAACUCACACAACGAGUUGAGUUUUACGCUCAAAUAUUUAAUGCAAUAUAGCACAUUUUUUCCAAAUCUUCACCAUUUCUCUUAA